rnacentral:rRNA from 1 species
UACGUAGGGGGCAAGCGUUGUCCGGAAUCAUUGGGCGUAAAGAGCGUGUAGGCGGCUCGGUAAGUCCGCUGUGAAAGUCCAGGGCUCAACCCUGGAAUGCCGGUGGAAACUGUCGAGCUAGAGUCCGGAAGAGGCGAGUGGAAUUCCUGGUGUAGCGGUGAAAUGCGCAGAUAUCAGGAGGAACACCGAUGGCGAAGGCAGGUCUCUGGGCUGACACUGACGCUCAUGCACGAAAGCGUGGGGAGCAAACAGG